UACGUAGGGCGCAAGCGUUAUCCGGAAUUAUUGGGCGUAAAGAGCUCGUAGGCGGUUUGUCGCGUCUGCCCGGUGAAAAGUCCCGGGGCUCAACUCCGGAUCUGCGGUGGGUACGGGCAGACUAGAGUGAUGUAGGGGAGACUGGAAUUCCUGGUGUAGCGGUGAAAUGCGCAGAUAUCAGGAGGAACACCGAUGGCGAAGGCAGGUCUCUGGGCAUUAACUGACGCUGAGGAGCGAAAGCAUGGGGAGCGAACAGG
rnacentral:rRNA from 1 species